UAGGUGUAAUUCCUCACAGGAAAAUCUAGGA
rnacentral:piRNA from 1 species